AUUAAAUAUUUUUACUUUCGAUUGUGAUAGAUUAAUUGCAUUUAGAUAAUGUAACUUGAAAAGCUAUUUUUAGCUUCGAGGGCCACUUGCGUUUGGCGUUCUUAAAAACCGUAGUUUCAAUAGCCCAAAAAUAUUUUUCUACUAAAUUGAAGAAGAAACGUUGCUCUUUCGCAUGGAUAUGGCUUUAAACGUCAAAGCGGAGGCCCAAUGAACGAUUUUCCACUCUAAAUUUAGCCAUUUUUCGGUCUCGAAAAAUUCAAUCGGUAAAUUAAGUAAAAAAUAAAAAAUCGCUAACAUAUUUACUUUAAACUCAAAUUUGAUAAACGAACAAGGAAAUUGUAUAUUUGUAUAGAAAUACUUCCUCUUUGAAAUGGUUAAUAGAUGUUUGUGAUAAAUCUUUAUUUCAAUUUUUAAGCGAUUUGUAAAUGACCUGUGGUAUGUGUCCUGUAAAACUACAAUCAUGGAAAUAAUAUCCGUAGACUUUUUUAAAACGCAUCUUGUCUGACUAUUUUGUAAAGCCAUUUUAUUUUUAGUUAAUACAAACGUCCAUGAUCGCUAGAAAUAGUAACUCCCCCCUCCCCUACCACAAUGUUGGUUCAAACCAUGGUUAUUGGACCUCAAACCAACAUUGUAAACGGGGAGGGGGGGAAAUUGAGAAAUUUUUGAAAAGUCUACGAAUUAAUUUCCAUGAUUGUAGUCUGAGAGACGUGAAACUAAAAAAAUAGCUGCUUGCCUAAAAUAAAAAUCUGAUCGAACUUAAAUUUAUAUUUCUAGUAAUAGUUUACCUAGACCUAUAUUCUGACAAAGUUUGAAGAUUUUGAUUUUUUUCAUUUUGCAUACCUCCAGU